UUUUUACGUAUUUCAUUCUUUCAGACCGUUAGUGGUUAGAGCACCCGCCUCGGAUGCGGGAGGUCGUGGGUUUGAUCCCCAGUCGAGUAAU